rnacentral:rRNA from 1 species
GAUGAACGCUGGCGGCGUGCUUAACACAUGCAAGUCGAACGGUGAAGGCGGAGCUUGCUCUGCUGGAUCAGUGGCGAACGGGUGAGUAACACGAGAGUAGCCUGCCCUUGACUUUGGUAUAACUUCACGAAACUGGGGCUAAUACCGGACAGGAGCUCCUGCUGCAUGGUGGGGGUUGGAAAGUGUCGGCGGUUGGGGAUGGACUCGCGGCUGAUCAGCCUGUUGGUGGGGUAGUGGCUUACCAAGGCUUUGACGGGUAGCCGGCCUGAGCGGGUGACCGGCCACGUUCGGACUGAGAUACGGCGCAGUAUCCUCAGGGAGGCCGCAGUGGGGAAUAUUGCAAAGCAGCCGGGAGGCGGAUGCAGCGACGGCGCGUGGGUGAUGACGGCCUUCGGGUAGUAAAGCGCUUUCGCCUGUGACGAAGCUGGAGUGACGGUAACGGGUAAAGAAGCACCGGCUAACUACGUG